AAAGGGGCGGGGACGGACCUUUCCGUCAGUCCCAUACCUUAUUUGGAAAUGGGACUAUUGCAUUCCGGAAAUGAAGGGGGCGCUAUUUUCAUAAUCACUAGUAUAAAUGCCUUAAAGACGCGGGGUUAAGAGGAAAGGAAGAAGAAAGAAAGAAGUUUGAAAAGUUUUUGCACUGGUGUUCGUCACAUGAUCCAUAAUGCAAAACCCACAAAAUCACCAAAAGGUCCAGAGAAGAACUACAAAAGGAGAGAAAGCGGAAAAAAGUUGAUGAGAGGGCAAAAUGUGAGACUCUGUGUGCUGAUGACCACACCUAUGCCAAAGGAGCCGAGGCACAAAUUGAGGUAGAAAGGAUACAGCCAAUCUUACGGGAAAGAUUCA